AGAGUUUGAUCCUGGCUCAGGACGAACGCUGGCGGCGUGCUUAACACAUGCAAGUCGAACGGAAAGGCCCUUCGGGGUACUCGAGUGGCGAACGGGUGAGUAACACGUGGGUGAUCUGCCCUGCACUUUGGGAUAAGCCUGGGAAACUGGGUCUAAUACCGAAUAUGACCACGCUCUUCAUGGGGUGUGGUGGAAAGCUUUUGCGGUGUGGGAUGGGCCCGCGGCCUAUCAGCUUGUUGGUGGGGUAAUGGCCUACCAAGGCGACGACGGGUAGCCGGCCUGAGAGGGUGACCGGCCACACUGGGACUGAGAUACGGCCCAGACUCCUACGGGAGGCAGCAGUGGGGAAUAUUGCACAAUGGGCGCAAGCCUGAUGCAGCGACGCCGCGUGAGGGAUGACGGCCUUCGGGUUGUAAACCUCUUUCACCAGGGACGAAGCGCAAGUGACGGUACCUGGAGAAGAAGCACCGGCCAACUACGUGCCAGCAGCCGCGGUAAUACGUAGGGUGCGAGCGUUGUCCGGAAUUACUGGGCGUAAAGAGCUCGUAGGUGGUUUGUCGCGUUGUUCGUGAAAACUCACAGCUUAACUGUGGGCGUGCGGGCGAUACGGGCAGACUAGAGUAUUGCAGGGGAGACUGGAAUUCCUGGUGUAGCGGUGGAAUGCGCAGAUAUCAGGAGGAACACCGGUGGCGAAGGCGGGUCUCUGGGCAGUAACUGACGCUGAGGAGCGAAAGCGUGGGGAGCGAACAGGAUUAGAUACCCUGGUAGUC
rnacentral:rRNA from 1 species